rnacentral:rRNA from 1 species
GACGAACGCUGGCGGCGUGCCUAAUACAUGCAAGUAGAACGCACAGUUUAUACCGUAGCUUGCUACACCAUAGACUGUGAGUUGCGAACGGGUGAGUAACGCGUAGGUAACCUGCCUGGUAGCGGGGGAUAACUAUUGGAAACGAUAGCUAAUACCGCAUAAUAUUAAUUAUUGCAUGAUAAUUAAUUGAAAGGUGCAAUUGCACCACUACCAGAUGGACCUGCGUUGUAUUAGCUAGUAGGUGAGGUAACGGCUCACCUAGGCGACGAUACAUAGCCGAGCUGAGAGGGUGGUCGGCCAAACUGGGACUGAGACACGGCCCAGACUCCUACGGGAGGCAGCAGGAGGGAAUAUUCGGCAAUGGACGAAAGUCUGACCGAGAAACGCCGCGGGAGGGAAGAAGGGUUUCGGAUCGUAAAGCUCUGUUGUAAGAGAAGAACGGGUGUGAGAGUGGAAAGUUCACACUGUGACGGUAUCUUACCAGAAAGGGACGGCUAACUACGUG